rnacentral:rRNA from 1 species
CCCUUAGAUGUUCUGGGCCGCACGCGCGCUACACUGUUCGACGCAGCGAGUCUUAACCUUGACCGAAAGGUUUGGGUAAUCUUCAGCAAAGUCGAACGUGAUGAGGAUCGAUCAUUGCAAUUAUUGAUCGUGAACGAGGAAUUCCUAGUAAGUGCAAGUCAUCAGCUUGCGCUGAUUACGUCCCUGCCCUUUGUACACACCGCCCGUCGCUACUACCGAUUGAAUGGUUUAGUGAGAUCUCUGGAUUGACGCUGGCUAGGGGGCGACCCUUGGCCAGACUGUUGAGAAACUGCUCAAACUUGAUCAUUUAGAGGAAGUAAAAGUCGUAACA